CAGAGUUCAGAGGCACUGGAGGGAGAGCCAAGUGCCCAGGUGUAUGAGGAACCGAUUAAAACACCAAAGACCCCAGGAGGAAAGAGCUGCAUGGAAAGAAAAGCCUGUCUUCUUCACUGGUCACCACAGUGUCCUCUGGUGAAGUCUGUAACAGUUGCAGUCACCUUUUGACCACUAUUGAUCAACUAUUGAAGACAACGAAGUAGAAAUCUGGAAAGGACCUGGUCUUGUUGAGGAUCCAAGAUUUCAAGAACAUCUGUUCUACUGAGAGCAACUCCAGGUCAACAUGAAAACGAGAAAUCUGGAAGGAAAACUAGGCAAAUGAUUUUGUGGCUGCUCUUACCCAAGCUAAGACCAGUUCCAGGAAGGAUCUUUCUGAAGACUCUCUGCAAGUGUGGUUCAUGGAGAAGAAACCUGCCAAAGAGUAUAAGCUCCCUCUGUCUGUGGAUUCUAAGGACUAUCUACUUUCUCACCAGCCUCUACCCAUUAACUAACUAUUCUGGCUGAAGUCUUUCACUGGUAUCCUGCAGAAUCUGCCCUAGUGCAAGGCCAUAAACUCUUCCUGCUGGCAAGCGGAGAAGCCAGGCACGUUUUGAGAGGUGCAGCAAGCUGCAGCAGAGAGCAGGUACUGGGAAGCCAAGUAAGCCCUGUAAUUAAAACCAUGCCCAGCAAAUGCUCCUGAUUCCAGAGGUCACAUCUGACUUCAGCUAAAGCAUUCUUUUUUGGUCCUCUCUUAACCCGGUCUUGACUUUUGAGCAUUCUCAUCAUUACCAGGGAGGAGGGAGGGAGGAAUAGGGCUGGGGGUAGACAGAAGAAUGUGA